GACGAACGCUGGCGGCGUGCCUAAUACAUGCAAGUCGAACGCAUUUUCUUUCACCGUAGCUUGCUACACCGAAAGAAAAUGAGUGGCGAACGGGUUAGUAACACGUGGGUAACCUGCCCAUCAGCGGGGGAUAACACUUGGAAACAGGUGCUAAUACCGCAUAAUUCCAUUUACUGCAUGGUAGAUGGAUGAAAGGCGCUUUUGCGUCACUGAUGGAUGGACCCGCGGUGCAUUAGCUAGUUGGUGGGGUAACGGCCUACCAAGGCUGCGAUGCAUAGCCGACCUGAGAGGGUGAUCGGCCACACUGGGACUGAGACACGGCCCAGACUCCUACGGGAGGCAGCAGUAGGGAAUCUUCGGCAAUGGACGCAAGUCUGACCGAGCAACGCCGCGUGAGUGAAGAAGGUUUUCGGAUCGUAAAACUCUGUUGUUAGAAAAGAACAAGGAUGAGAGUGGAAAGUUCAUCCCUUGACGGUAUCUAACCAGAAAGCCACGGCUAACUACGUG
rnacentral:rRNA from 1 species